UGAGCCGGUGUUGUCACACUCAACUGUUAAGGACGACCAUAUUUCGUUAAACAUAAUACAAAAAAAGAUUGAUUUUCAAUAAGUGGAUGAUUGAUCAUUGAUGUGAAGGUGAAAAUGGAUGACACUGAAGAUUCCGAGACAUACACAAUUUAUUUGCGUAUCAAUGACGAGCCUUUCUUCGCCAAAACUGGACUAUCAAAAUUGAAAUAUCUCCAAUUCAAGUGUGAUGAUGAGUGGACGUGGGACUUUAUUCAAUCGAUCUAUGGUCCAGGUGGGGUAAAGUGGAAGCCAA